UGACAAGAUAUUUUGAUUUAGGUUUAUUGCAUGUCUUGACAUCCACUUAGCUCAUCCCUCUUCCUUAAUACUCAAUUAAUUUUGGUUUUCUUUCCAUCUUUAAGAGACUACAACUUCCCUAGGUGGAAUUGGCACCACUAGAACUGAAAUAAAAUCAGGAGCCACCACUGGAGCACCAGGAAGUAAGACAGGCACAGCUGGAGUGCCCUCUGGGACAACAGUCACCCCUGGGAGCUCCAACUCAGGUAAAGCACCAGGCUGGGAGAAACCACUGCUUGGGAAGGGCUCCUCAAUGAGGUGUCUCUGCCUGGGUG
rnacentral:lncRNA from 10 species